rnacentral:lncRNA from 1 species
UAUACUUAUUAUUCUUUGGUUUGGUCUUUUCAUGCUGUCCCAUAUUUCCUGGAUAUUUUGUGUUAUGGAUUUGUUAGACUUCAGAUUUUCUUUGCUUGACAAGUUUAUUUCCUCUAGUUUGUCUUCAGCAUCUGAGAUUCUGUCUUCGAUCUCUUGUAUUCUAUUGGUUAUACUUGCAUCUGUGGUUCCUGAUUGUUUACUCAGCUUUUCCACUUCCAGCAUUCCCUCAGUUUGUGUUUUCUUUAUUGUCUCUAAUUCAGUUUUCAGGUCCUGAACUGUUUCCUUCAGCUGUUUAAUUGUAUUUUCUUGGCUUUUUUGGCUUUCCUUGAUUUCUGGCAUCUUUUGGUUUGUCUUUUCUUCCAUUUUUCUGAAGGAUUUUCUGAUUUCCUGUCUUAGGUUCUCUAUCAUCUGCAUGAAGUUGUUUUUAAGGUUGCUCUCUUCUGCUUCUUCUGUGUUGGGAUGUUCAUGUCUUGCUGGUGUAGAGUCCCUGGACUCUGGUGGUGUCAUAUUGGUUUUCCUGUUGUUGGAUGUGUUCUUAUAUUGACAUCUUCCCAUCUCUUUUUCCAGUGGGUACAGUUGGUGUCACUUCCGUUCCUGGUGUGUAUGGGUCCGGUGUUCUCUUCAGGUGUGAGGCACUCCCUCUCCAGAAUCCUUUCAGGACUCAUGUACCAAGGUGGGGACUUCAUACAGCAUCACAUCAAUAGCCAUGCCUCCACCUACAGGGAGAAAUUUGAUGAAGAGAACUUCAUUCUGAAGCACACAUAGUUCUGGAAUCUUAUUCAUGGGAAAUGCUGGACCAAACACAAAUGGUUUCCAGGUUUUCCUCUUUUCUUCUGAGGCUGAGUGUUUGGAUGGCAAACUUGUGGUCUUUAGGACAGUAAAAAUGGCAUGAGCAUUGUAGACAUCCUGAAGUUUCUCGAGCAGCAAGGAGGCCUUUACUGCUGAUUGUGGACAGGCUUUCACUGCUGACUGUGAACAGCCCUACCACAUUGGACAUGCAUGUAUCCUGACCAACAAACUUUUCUUUCUGUGGUUCAGGAGCACUUCCUUCCAGUCUAUUCAGUGUCCACCAGCCUUGUGUUCUCAUUGUGUUCUUUGGGUUCCAUGUUUUCCUUAAUCAUUUACAAGUACAGUUUGAUUGUAGAGUUAAGGUUACUGUUAUGGAUAAAAACCAAAAAAUUAAACCAGACAUGGUAGUGCACCCCUUUAAUAUUAGCUUAAUUAAUAUCAGGGCGAAGGCAGGAGAAUCCAGGCCCAGCCAGGGUUGCAUUUUUAAAUGUAAAUCUUUCAAAAAAGAUUGCAUUUAAUAUUUAUUUUCAAAGACACGGUUUCUCUGUGUAGCCCUGGCUAUCUUGAAACUCGCUCUGUAGACCAGGCUGGCCUUGAACUCACAGAGAUGUGCUGCCUCUGCCCUGAACUUAAGCUAAUAUUAAAUGUAUGCACCACCACCUCCUGGCUUGCAUUUAAUUUUAAAUUAACAGUUGAUGUAAUUUAUAACUAGUAUCCUAAUUUGACAUAGCGAUAUCUUGUUUUUUUAUGAAUUACACAGUCUCUCAGGAACUAAAUUCUAUAGCAAUUUUAAGAGAAGGUGAGUUUCCUCUAAUGUGAAAUCAAAGUGUGUGCUUUAUUGGCAAUAUACUUUCUAGAGAAACUUAAGGGUAAAAUCAGCCCAUUUUGUUUUGUAGUAAAUCAGAAAUAGGCAAACUAUGUCAACAUGAUAAUAUGCAGUGAGGGAAAUGUUCCAUGCAAACCUCUGUUUUUCUAUUAAUCCCUAAAAUGACUUGUGUCCUUUUUAUCUAUAUGAGUAAUAUCAGACACAAACACAGUUGCAGGAAUAAUACACAGAAAAGACAAAUACACUCUGAGUUUAGAAUCUUAAUAAAUUAUGUUUUAAAGGUGAUUCAAAUCUAUAGGAAAUGUAAGAUUGGAGAUUUCAACAAAGAUGCGAUAUCUAGGUAUGCUUCUGAGAGUUAUUUAGGUAUUUUAUUCUUGGUUAGUUGAAUUUAGUACAGAAGGAAAGAGAACUGGGUCCUUGGCCAUGGAUCACAGAAAAGUCUAAGUUUAUUCAGAUACUGUUCAAGCCUCUGUCUAGGCAUAUUAGUAGCCACCUUUACUUUCAUUAUAUGUAACAAUGUGAUACUUUCAGUGCAUCAUAAAGAGAACAGGCAAGCAAAAAGGAAACGGUUUAUUUUUACUGUCAUAUUUUAGAUUUUCAUUUUCUUUUACAUUGCUGGGCAUAUUCCAUAUUUAUUGUAUUAUGACAGUAAUAAUGCCUCUUUUUGUAAAUCUUAAAAGCAAAACAAUUUGUUAGUUCUUUUUAUUGUGCUGAGAUAUACAGCAUUUGACCACCUCCAGACAUCCAAUUCAGUAGUACUCAGUAUGCUCACAGUACUGUGCAGCUCACCACAAGUCACCUCCAGGAAUCUUAAACACCCCACCCAGUAAUGUCCAUCUUUCUGUCCUUGAAUUGUACAUGUUGAGUGACCUAAAUGGUGAUUAUGCAUGAAGUUUACUUUAUCACAUUUGGCAGGCUUGAUUGUUAAUUCACAAAAUUAACUCAUAUUGUUUUUGUUUUGUAUUUAUGUGUGCGAUGAACCUAAUUUAAGCAUAGUUGUAAAAACAAUGCAAUGCAUUUAAUAAAUUAUUAAGUUUAAAAUCCCACCGUGUAUGUUACAUAUCAUCUUAUAGUUUAAUAAGUCUUGAUAACAUAAAUGUCUGCCUGCC